UUUUUAAUAUAAUUAUGUUUCAUGCAAUAUUUAGGGUAUACUGCUAUUAAAA
rnacentral:pre_miRNA from 1 species